rnacentral:antisense_RNA from 1 species
CGGGGGGGAGGGGCGGCGAGGCGAGGCCUGCGGAGCGGAGGAAGACAAACAUAAAGAUGAAGUGCUUAAUUCAAGGUCACACAAUGUCGGGGAUGGACCUCCAGAUUUCCUUACUGUACUUAUCCUGUAUUACAUGAAGGAAAUGAAAUAAAAAGACUGCAACCCCACUCCCAGCUACUCAGUGAGGUGGUAGCUAGAGACGGAGUCUUGCUAUGUUGCCCAGGCUGGUCUUGAACUCCUCACCUCAAGCGAUCCUCUCGUCUUGGCCUCCCAAGUGUCAGGAUUACAGGCAUGUGCUAUCACACCCAACCUGAUACAUUGCCUUUAUAAAUUUUUUUUUCUUUAUUCUAAAAACCAGAAAAAACAAAACUGGAUACAUGUGCAGAACAUGCAGGUUUGUUACAUAGCUGUACGUGUGCCAUGGUGGUUUGCUGCACCUAUUGACCUAUCCUGUGAGACGUGGUCUUGUAACACAGUGGUUAAGAAUGUGACUUUGGAGCCAGCCUGCUAGGGGCUGAAUUCUGACUCAGCCAUUUACUAACUGUGUGACCUUAGGUGGAGUCUCACUCUGUAGCCCAAGCUGGAGUGGUGUGAUCUCGACUCACUGCAACCUCCGCCUCCUGGGCUCAAGUGAUUCUCGUGCCUCAGCCUCCUGAGUAGCUGGGACUACAGGUCACAGAAUUUUCCACACUCCUUGACGGAGGUGCUUAACCCUUAUCCAUCAGCAUUCUCAGACAGCACCUCCGGUUAGGGACAGUAUCUGACCGUCCGACAUCCCUGCAGCCCCCAUGUGUCACACAGACUCAGCCUCAGGUAGAUGGUUUCCGUAGAUGGUGGCUUUCUUUGGACCCUUGACAUCAACCAGUUACUA